UACGUAGGGGGCUAGCGUUGUCCGGAAUCAUUGGGCGUAAAGCGCGCGUAGGCGGCCCAGUAAGUCCGUUGUAAAAGUCAAAGGCUCAACCUUUGAAAGCCGAUGGAUACUGCUGGGCUAGAGUCCGGAAGAGGCGAGUGGAAUUCCUGGUGUAGCGGUGGAAUGCGCAGAGUAUCAGGAGGAACACCGGUGGCGAAGGCGGGUCUCUGGGCAACAACGUGACGCUGGAGGAGCGAAAGCGUGGGGAGCGAACAGG
rnacentral:rRNA from 1 species